GAUGAACGCUGGCGGCGUGCCUAAUACAUGCAAGUCGAGCGAAGAGGGGACGGGUGAGUAACACGUGGAUAACCUCCUAUAAGACUGGGAUAACUUCGGGAAACCGGAGCUAAACCGGAUAAUUAUAGAUGGAUCCGCGGUGCAUUAGCUAGUUGGUAAGGUAACGGCUUACACAGGCAACGACGCAUAGCCGACCUGAGAGGGGGAUCGGCCACACUGGGACUGAGACACGGCCCAGACUCCUACGUGAGGCAGCAGUAGGGAAUCUUCCGCAAUGGGCGAAAGCCUGACGGAGCCACGCCGCGUGAGUGAAGAAGGUCGUCGGAUCGUAAAGCACUUUUAUUAGGGAAGCGUUACCUAAUCAGAAAGCCACGGCUAACUACGUGCCAGCAGCCGCGGUAAGUC
rnacentral:rRNA from 1 species